AACGAACGCUGGCGGCAUGCCUAACACAUGCAAGUCGAACGAGACCUUCGGGUCUAGUGGCGCACGGGUGCGUAACGCGUGGGAACCUGCCCUUAGGUUCGGAAUAACUCCCCGAAAGGGGUGCUAAUACCGGAUAAUGUCUUCGGACCAAAGAUUUAUCGCCUUUGGAUGGGCCCGCGUUGGAUUAGCUAGUUGGUAGGGUAAAAGCCUACCAAGGCGACGAUCCAUAGCUGGUCUGAGAGGAUGAUCAGCCACACUGGGACUGAGACACGGCCCAGACCCCUACGGGGGGCAGGAGGGGGGAAAAAUGGGCAGGGGGCGAAAGCCGGAACCAGCAAUGCCGGGGGGGGGAUGAAGGCCUUAGGGUUGUAAAGCUCUUUUACCGGGGAUGAAAAGGACGGAACGGGGAAAAAAAGCCCGGGCAAACCCCGU
rnacentral:rRNA from 1 species